rnacentral:rRNA from 1 species
AUUGAACGCUGGCGGCAUGCCUUACACAUGCAAGUCGAACGGCAGCACGGGGCAACCGGGUGUCGAGUGGCGAACGGGUGAGUAAUGCAUCGGAACGUACCUUUCAGUGGGGGAUAACGUAGCGAAAGUUACGCUAAUACCGCAUAUUCUGUGAGCAGGAAAGCAGGGGAUCGCAAGACCUUGCGCUGAUUGAGCGGCCGAUGUCAGAUUAGCUAGGUGGUGAGGUAAAGGCGAACCAAGGCGACGAUCUGUAGGGGGUCGGGGAGGAUGAUCCGCCACCCUGGGACUGAGACACGGUCCAGACUCCUACGGGAGGCAGCAGUGGGGAAUUUUGGACAAUGGGGGCAACCCUGAUCCAGCCAUGCCGCGUGAGGAAAGAAGGCCUUCGGGUUGUAAAGCUCUUUCGACCGGGAAGAAAUCGCACGGGCUAAUACCCUGUGUGGAUGACGGUACCGGAAUAAGAAGCACCGGCUAACUACGUGCCAGCAGCCGCCGUAAUAC